rnacentral:rRNA from 1 species
AUUGAACGCUGGCGGCAUGCUUUACACAUGCAAGUCGAACGGUAACAGGCCGCAAGGUGCUGACGAGUGGCGAACGGGUGAGUAAUGCAUCGGAACGUGCCCAGUCGUGGGGGAUAACUGCUCGAAAGAGCAGCUAAUACCGCAUACGAUCUAUGGAUGAAAGCGGGGGACCGUAAGGCCUCGCGCGAUUGGAGCGGCCGAUGUCAGAUUAGGUAGUUGGUGGGGUAAAGGCUCACCAAGCCAACGAUCUGUAGCUGGUCUGAGAGGACGACCAGCCACACUGGGACUGAGACACGGCCCAGACUCCUACGGGAGGCAGCAGUGGGGAAUUUUGGACAAUGGGGGCAACCCUGAUCCAGCAAUGCCGCGUGCAGGAAGAAGGCCUUCGGGUUGUAAACUGCUUUUGUACGGAACGAAACGGUCUGGGUUAAUACCCUGGGCUAAUGACGGUACCGUAAGAAUAAGCACCGGCUAACUACGUGCCAGCAGCCGCCGCAGUAA